UAAAAUUUAUAAAAUUAGGUAGUAAAGGAGAUUCUGAAACCUAAAGAAUUUGGCGGUAUUUUAAAUAAUUGGAGGAACCUAUUAUUUAAUUGAUAAUCCACAAUAUAUCUUACCUAAAUUUUGUUUGUAUAUCGUCGUUUUGAAAAUAUUUAAAAAUUAUAAUCAGUUCCAAUAAAUUUUUAAAAUUCAGAUCAAGGUGCAGUAUAUUUAGGUUAUAAUGGGUUACAAUAUAUUUAUAUAUUAUGAAUAUAGAAUUGAAAUUAUAUUGAAGGUGGAUUCAAAAGUAAAAUUAAAAUAAAAAGUUAAUUUGAUUAAUAAUUUAAAAUAUGC
rnacentral:rRNA from 1 species